rnacentral:rRNA from 1 species
UACGUAGGGUCCAAGCGUUGUCCGGAUUUAUUGGGCGUAAAGAGCGCGUAGGCGGUCCGGUAAGUCCGCUCUGAAAGUCCGGGGCUCAACCCCGGGAGGCGGGCGGAUACUGUCGGGCUAGAGUCCGGAAGAGGCGAGUGGAAUUCCUGGUGUAGCGGUGAAAUGCGCAGAUAUCAGGAGGAACACCGAUGGCGAAGGCAGCUCGCUGGGACGGUACUGACGCUGAGGCGCGAAAGCGUGGGGAGCAAACAGG